rnacentral:rRNA from 1 species
AUUGAACGCUGGCGGCAUGCUUUACACAUGCAAGUCGGACGGCAGCGCGGGCUUCGGCCUGGCUGCGAGUGGCGAACGGGUGAGUAAUACAUCGGAACGUGCCCAGUUAUGGUGGAUAGCUCGGCGAAAGCCGGAUUAAUACCGCAUACGACCUGACGGUGAAAGCGGGGGAGUUUAGGGCCUUCCGCUCUUGGGGCGGUGGAUGGGCGGUUGGCUAGUUGGUGGGGUAAAGGCCUACCAAGGCGACGAUCUGUAGCUGGUCUGAGAGGACGACCAGCCACACUGGGACUGAGACACGGCCCAGACUCCUACGGGAGGCAGCAGUGGGGAAUGUUGGACAAUGGGCGCAAGCCUGAUCCAGCAAUGCCGCGUGUGUGAUGAAGGCCUUCGGGUUGUAAAGCACUUUUGGCGGGAACGAAAAGCGCCGUGCUAAUACCACGGUACGAUGACGGUACCUGCAGAAUAAGCACCGGCUAACUACGUG